rnacentral:rRNA from 1 species
GAUGAACGCUAGCGGCAGGCUUAACACAUGCAAGUCGAGGGGUAGAGGUUGCUUGCAACCUUGAGACCGGCGCACGGGUGCGUAACGCGUAUGCAACCUACCUUUUACAGAGGGAUAGCCCAGAGAAAUUUGGAUUAAUACCUCAUAGUAUAUAACCUUCGCAUGUUGGUUAUAUUAAAGUUCCAACGGUAAAAGAUGGGCAUGAGUCCUAUUAGCUAGAUAGUAAGGUAACGGCUUACCAUGUCGACGAGAGGUAGGGGUCCUGAGAGGGAGAUCCCACACACUGGUACUGAGACACGGACCAGACUCCUACGGGAGGCAGCAGUGAGGAAUAUUGGACAAUGGGCGCAAGCCUGAUCCAGCCAUGCCGCGUGCAGGAAGAAGCAUCUAUGGUGUGUAAACUGCUUUUGUACAGGAAGAAACACCCCGACGUGUCGGGGCUUGACGGUACUGUAAGAAUAAGGAUCGGCUAACUCCGUGCCAGCCGCCGCGGUAA